rnacentral:tRNA from 1 species
GGGGUUGUGGCUCAAUGGUAGAGUGCUCACCUAAAAUGUGUGAGGCACUAGGUUCAAUCCUCAGCACCA